rnacentral:rRNA from 1 species
UGAGUAACACGUGGGCAAUCUGCCCUGCACUUCGGGAUAAGCCUGGGAAACUGGGUCUAAUACCGGAUAGGACCUUUAGGCGCAUGCCUUUUGGUGGAAAGCUUUUGCGGUGUGGGAUGGGCCCGCGGCCUAUCAGCUUGUUGGUGGGGUGAUGGCCUACCAAGGCGACGACGGGUAGCCGGCCUGAGAGGGUGUCCGGCCACACUGGGACUGAGAUACGGCCCAGACUCCUACGGGAGGCAGCAGUGGGGAAUAUUGCACAAUGGGCGCAAGCCUGAUGCAGCGACGCCGCGUGGGGGAUGACGGCCUUCGGGUUGUAAACCUCUUUCACCAUCGACGAAGGUCCGGGUUUUCUCGGAUUGACGGUAGGUGGAGAAGAAGCACCGGCCAACUACGUGCCAGCAGCCGCGGUAAUACGUAGGGUGCGAGCGUUGUCCGGAAUUACUGGGCGUAAAGAGCUCGUAGGUGGUUUGUCGCGUUGUUCGUGAAAUCUCACGGCUUAACUGUGAGCGUGCGGGCGAUACGGGCAGACUAGAGUACUGCAGGGGAGACUGGAAUUCCUGGUGUAGCGGUGGAAUGCGCAGAUAUCAGGAGGAACACCGGUGGCGAAGGCGGGUCUCUGGGCAGUAACUGACGCUGAGGAGCGAAAGCGUGGGGAGCGAACAGGAUUAGAUACCCUGGUAGUCCACGCCGUAAACGGUGGGUACUAGGUGUGGGUUUCCUUCCUUGGGAUCCGUGCCGUAGCUAACGCAUUAAGUACCCCGCCUGGGGAGUACGGCCGCAAGGCUAAAACUCAAAGGAAUUGACGGGGGCCCGCACAA